rnacentral:miRNA from 1 species
GACAGCACGUCAUGAUUUGUAGAGAUUAAACACAAAUCUGCAAAACAUGAUGUGCUGCUAG